UGAAAACUUGCGACCCGCCCCAGCUUCGCAUGGGUGCAAUGGUGAUAUAUUAUGCAUGUAUUAUACAAUAUAUAAACCUUCCUCUUGAAUCACUUUAUCUAUUAAAAAAACUGCAUCAAAAUCCGUUGCGUAGUUUUAAAGAUUUAAGCGGAUUUUUACAGAGGGACAUAGGGACAGAGACAGCUACUUUGUUUUAUACUAUGUAGUGUCUGAUAUUUAUUCAUUAUCUAACUGACGGAAUAAAUAGUUUUUGUAUUUUAAUUUUCUGUCAUCAUCACUAUUGUCAUGUUUUGAGAUAUGCACACCACACAAUAUCGCUCACCUACUAAUAUAUUGGCACAUCUGCAAAAAAUGCGAAAUUGACUUUAUAUGGUUUACGUGUUUAAAAGUGCAUAUUAAUCUAUUUACUUCCAUAUUCAUCGAGAGAGGUCGUCAGUGUCAUUAUACCAUUAUUGUAGUUCACGCACGUAAAACAACGGUUCAUUGGUCAGUAAACUAAAAACUAAACAAGUCAGGUAAACUAUGAAAACCGUAAAUGUGCCAAUAUAUUACUAGGUGUGCGAUAGGUUCAUGAUUAUAGUUACUGCCCAAUAGAUAAAUAAAUUAAACUAUAAUUUUAUUAUAACUUUCGUGAGACAUACUAAAUUAAUUAUUAUGUUAUCGGCUUACUCACAUAACUGUUUGACGAGGAACUCGACUAGUUUCUAGCCAUGCUGUAGUAGUAGCAGCGCGACAAUCGCCGCGUCGUGUGUCGCGGAAUGUUGCUCAUGAAUAUGAGCCUGUAGCAUGGCUUGAAACUAGUCGAGUUCCUCGUCAAACAGUUACGUGAGUAAGCCGAUAACAUAAUACGUAAGUAACUCAAGAAAGAAUUUAGGGUGACUGGUAAUUAGUGAACGAUAUUUAAACACGUGAUUGUACUCAUGAUUACAAACAACUUUCCCGAAGAAACUUUUUUUGUAUAGUCAUUA